UACAGAGGUGGCAAGCGUUGUUCGGAAUUACUGGGCGUAAAGGGCGCGUAGGCGGCCUACUAAGUCAGACGUGAAAUCCCCCGGCUUAACCUGGGAACUGCGUCUGAUACUGGUUGGCUUGAAUUCGGGAGAGGGAUGCAGAAUUCCAGGUGUAGCGGUGAAAUUCGUAGAUAUCUGGAGGAACACCGGUGGCGAAGGCGGCAUCCUGGACCAACACUGACGCUGAGUGAGCGAAAGCCAGGGGAGCAAACGGGG
rnacentral:rRNA from 1 species